rnacentral:lncRNA from 1 species
AAGUUAAAACAGAACUAUAAACCUGCCUUCAUAUACCUCCCUGCUUGUCUCAUAAGCCAAACAGGAGGCCUUUCUACUUCUUUACCCCGUACAGCAUCCAGCAACAAAGGUUCUGUUGCAUUUAUAGCUUUUGGUUCCGCAACAGUUCCUGGAAGUUAAAAUCAAUAUGAGAAUUCAACCAACUUAAGAAGCUGAAGGUAUAAUUGCAUGGGAAUAAAUAGCUAAAACUCUCAUUGGUCUGGGGGUGUAUAUGGAAAUUUCAGAUAAAAGCUAACAGUCUAAUAGAUGCAAUUUUACAUACUAGAAUUGAAAUUACUAUUUUAAUGAAGAAUAAAUUGGGGUCCUUGAGGCUUGCUUAAUUGUCCAAACCCCUAACAGCAUCAAGCAACAAAGGUUCAGUUGCAUUUAUAGCCUUUGGUUCAGCAACAGUUCCUGGAAAUUAAGAGCAGCAUCAAUCACACGACCAUCUAAAAAAUACAAUAAAUCUAUUUGAAAUUUUGGAAAAUUAGAAGGUUUCUAGUCCUAAGAGAUAAGCACAUUAAAUACAACGUGCACUGCAACAACACAAGGAUCUAAGAGAUACUAGCCAUGGAUUCGGUACAAGGAGAAUCUAAAGGAUAUCUAGGUUUAUCUUUAAUAGCUCACUGUUUGACGAUAGGACAUUGCUCACUCAUUUAGCUUGUUGUAAGAAAUAUUCAGUGAUGAAAAAUUGAAAAUUAAGCUCAUUUCCCAUUGAGUUUGACUAAUAUGUUAUUCCAACCUAGUUGACAAGUUUUUGAUGAAGUUCGACCUAG